rnacentral:rRNA from 1 species
AUUGAACGCUGGCGGCAGGCCUAACACAUGCAAGUCGAACGAGUGGCGGACGGGUGAGUAAUGUCUGGGAAACUGCCCGAUGGAGGGGGAUCACUACUGGAAACGGUAGCUAAUACCGCCUACCAUCGGAUGUGCCCAGAUGGGAUUGGCUGGUGGGUGGGGUAACGGCUCACCUAGGCGACGAUGCCUAGCGGGUCUGAGAGGAUGACCAGCCAAACUGGAACUGAGACACGGGCCAGACUCCUACGGGAGGCAGCAGGGGGGAAUAUUGCACAAUGGGCGCAAGCCUGAUGCAGACAUGCCGCGUGUAUGAAGAAGGCCUUCGGGUGGUAAAGUACUUUCAGCGAGGAGGCGUUACUCGCAGAAGAAGCACCGGCUAACUCCGUGCCAGCAGCCGCGGUAAUUC